CCUACGGGUGGCUGCAGUGAGGAAUAUUGGUCAAUGGGCGGGAGCCUGAACCAGCCAAGCCGCGUGAGGGAAGAAGGUCCUGCGUAUCGUAAACCUCUUUUGUCAGGGAACAAAGGCGGGGACUAGACUCCGGAGCAGGGUACCUGAAGAAAAAGCAUCGGCUAACUCCGUGCCAGCAGCCGCGGUAAUACGGAGGAUGCGAGCGUUAUCCGGUUGUAUGGGGUUUAAAGGGUGCGCAGGCGGCCGGUUAAGUCAGCGGUAAAGGCCCGGGGCUCAACCCCGGCAAGCCGUUGAAACUGGGGGGCUGGAGUUGGAGAGAGGUACGCGGAAUGCGCGGUGUAGCGGUGAAAUGCUUAGAGAUCGCGCAGAACCCCGAUUGCGAAGGCAGCGUACCGGCUCCACACUGACGCUGAGGCACGAAAGCGUGGGUAUCGAACAGGAUUAGAUACCCCUGUAGUC
rnacentral:rRNA from 1 species